UCACAACCCUUCCCCUUUGCAAGUACUAUGAUAUAAUAACUUGUGGCUUGGAGUUCCUCCUGUGCUUUUCAAAUCUCAUAACCUUAUCCUCCCAGUCAUUUUCUCUACCGAUCAAGCAAAAGACACUCAGGUCGCUAAAUGCUUGGAGCUUGCACGAGGAAGGAGUCGUUGUGGUGUACGGACUGUUAUGUUCCGUGCUUAAUAUUCAAAUCCUUAUGAACUUAUUAAACUUGCGUUUUGAACUUUAACUUAUAAACUAUAAACUUAUGUUUUGGACUUUACGUUUAUGCUUCCGCUGUUUAAUUUAAAACUUGGUUAACUAGCUUUUGGUCACCAAUCGUAUUGUGGUUGGCUUUAUUUACUUAAAUACGUUGUUCGGUGUGAUUGGUGGCUCGAUCCUGGUCACGUCACGCCUCCAAGUGGUGGUACUCCGCAUGGUGGAUUUUGGGGGUGUGACAACAACUGCGGACAAGAAGGGCAUCCGUAUUAUAAUUGCCCAAAUCCCAAGAGAGUGUGCUACAACUGUAAUGAAUCGGGUCAUGUGAAGGCCGAAUGCCCAAAACUUAAACAAGGGGUGAAGAAAGAUGGAAAGAAGGAAGAACCCGCUAAAGCUAAGGGAAGAAUGUUCCAAAUCUCUACGGAAGAAGCUAGAGCUCACCCGAAUGUGGUGUCAGAUCAUCUAAGCAUACUUGAGUACAAGGAAUAAAGGAAGAAAGCUCAAGUCGCUCGGAUCGCAAACGAACGACAAAGGUAAAGCUACUUGAUGGAUGGCAUAUUUGGACCGAACACACUUGUGAUGCACGCUUCCACGAAGUUGCUAGUCAUGAUCUAAACUUUUGUUAAAUGUUUCUUUUGUUAAAAAAAAAAAACGGGUCCUUAUGUAAGUAACUUAAUCCAGUAGUUCUUAGAUCUUGAACUUGUAGUUAAAAAAUUGUAUGGCUUGUAAACUCUUUUGUAACUAUUUCGUUAGUUAUGUCGAAGUAAAAUGCAGAAUUUUACUUAU
rnacentral:lncRNA from 1 species